rnacentral:rRNA from 1 species
AUUGAACGCUGGCGGCAUGCUUUACACAUGCAAGUCGGACGGCAGCGCGGGCUUCGGCCUGGCGGCGAGUGGCGAACGGGUGAGUAAUACAUCGGAACGUGCCCAGUAGUGGGGGAUAGCUCGGCGAAAGCUGGAUUAAUACCGCAUACGACCUGAGGGUGAAAGCGGGGGACUUUAGGGCCUCGCGCUAUUGGAGCGGCCGAUGGCAGAUUAGCUAGUUGGUGGGGUAAAGGCCUACCAAGGCGACGAUCUGUAGCUGGUCUGAGAGGACGACCAGCCACACUGGGACUGAGACACGGCCCAGACUCCUACGGGAGGCAGCAGUGGGGAAUUUUGGACAAUGGGCGCAAGCCUGAUCCAGCAAUGCCGCGUGUGUGAUGAAGGCCUUCGGGUUGUAAAGCACUUUUGGCAGGAACGAAAAGUGCCGUGCUAAUACCACGGUACGAUGACGGUACCUGCAGAAUAAGCACCGGCUAACUACGUG